rnacentral:lncRNA from 1 species
CAGCCAUUGUAUAUCGUGAACUAAUAAUUACAGAGUCAUAUUAUGAUAUUUUUGUAGCUGAGAUCGACAUUACGUACCUUUGAAUAAUGUUUACCAUUUGUUGAUAAUUUUCUUGUAGUUUUCUCAUUGAGUCAAAGAUUAUCAACCGGUUCUUGGGAAUUUCAAUGACCAUGAGUAUCCAGUGAAAGCUGUUUACACAUAUAUAUAUAGUCAGUCCUAUAAUGUAAAAUAAAAUAUGCAUGCGCUUAAUAACUAUAUAACUCACUCGAAGUUGAAGGGGAAGAGUAUUUUUUGUUUUUCUUUUUUGUUCACAAAGAACCUCAUAAGAUUGGUGCAGACUUCUGUCUCAUGAUCUGCUGUCCACACUGCCUGCGGAGCCUUGAAAACAAUAUAAGGGUCAACGAACCCAAUACUAUUGUCAUUUCUCAUUCUGAGCUCUCUCAUUUGGUGCCUGUAUACAUACAAAUCCUAAGUGUGUAAGGAUUAUAUACAUGUAAUUAAAGAAGUUAGAAGUAUAAUAAAAAGAAAAAAAUACUUACAGACAAAAGCAGCUGACAAGAGAUUUGUCAAGAGCGUCGAGGUGGCAU